AGGAGAGGACAUUUCACUUCCCUGUCCUGGCCCUCGCUCUGCCUCCAACCACGCCGCAGGCCUCUCUUCUGCACUUGAGUUUCCUGCCCCUUAAAUAUCGCUUUACCAGGAAAGGAGAACACCUUCACCCAAAGGACCAGCGGAGAUGUGAGGACAUCUGACUGCAGGCCACACAGCUGAGUUGGCAGGGAAGGCAGCUGGUGGCCACUUCCUGCCUCACCCUGCAGGAAGGAGGUACCCAGGAAAAGGACGUUAGAGCUGUAACCACUAUAGAUGGUUCCUGUUCCUCUCCAGGGACAGCAGCCUCCUCAUGUGGACUACUUCUGUAGGCCAGAUGGGGGAUAUCUAAGCACACAGACAGGAUUGAAAGCGGUCCAUCUGCAACAGCAUCUCCCACUGAACUGGGGCUUACCAAUUGGCUAGACUGGCUGGCCAAUAUGCCCUGAGCAUCUAGUUCUGCUUCCCCAGAACUGGUGAGGAAUAGGGUAUUUUUACAGCCCUGAUCCUUGCAUGCUUUGGACACAUUCACCACUUGACUUGGCCCAGGAAAACCUGGUUGACUCUUAGUUUUCAGUUUGGCAAUAGUGCAACCUUUUUGGAGUCUGUCUUAGAAGGUUCUACCAUGGUUCUGUGAUAUUAAGCAAUUGUGAUCAUGAUAGUAGAUGCUGUUCCUUGAGGACCCUCCCCUGCUUCUGUGGUAUAGGGCAAUAAGAUGGAAUGAGGGGGUCUCACAGAUGGGAUUAACUAUGGGGACUGUGGAAAGCAUGGACUACUUAUAUUGAUACCCACAGGGCCCUGUCUUCCUGAAGUCCUGCGUUUCAAGAAGCCCAAGCUCAAGGAAUCUCCUCCAGACAUGUGACAGACCUCAGCUGGCAAAAAUCCUUCUUCAGGGCUACCCAGCUUCUCACCCACAAAGGUCAACGCAUCUGUAGCUUUCAAGUCUCCUGCUGGAUGUGACAUCUGCCCCGGGUUGGGAGCUAAAAUGCCUUGGCUGAUUUUUUUCUGGGAUAAAGUCAGAAGGAGGGCUCCGACAGUCUUUCUGAGCUUUAAGGUGUAGACUACAGCCUGUGUGGUUUAGCAAACCAGCAUUUUACGCUUGGAUGUGAGCUCGGGAGCUCUGUGACUUGGGUUCAUUCCCGUCUCCUCAGAGUGUAAGCUGCAUGAGUACUGUGUGUUCCUUGUUUUAUCCCCAGGACCAGGAAGAGAGUCCAGGGCCAAGGGCAAGCAUCUGUAAACAGUUGACAGAGGAAUUAGCAUGCCAAUAGCUUUGAACAAAUGAAUGGAACUAAGUCAGUUUGGGAACUGAACUCAGCCGCUAAUGAAGCUACUCAUUGCACUUAACCAAGACCCCACUUCCCUGAGACCCCCACUUCCAUCUUCUUUUUCCCUGAGCAAAUUUAACUUAUUGUUUUGUCUCAAAAUACCAUUACUGAAAACCUUUCCUCUGCAGUCCUUAGUGUGCCUCACGUUGUCUUAAGAAUGCAUGUAGCACGAGAUUGCAACCAGAAGGAGACAAUUACUUGAUUCCUUACUCCCUGAGUCCCGAGUUCACUGGUUCUCUUCUGCAGGUAUUUCUCUACAAACUGACAGAGCUUUGCUGAAGCCCUGCUGCUGGAGGCCUCUGUGUAACACCCUCCUGUGUAGGAAUUUGGUCAUGGAAAACAUAUCAACAAAGGCCUCUCUUUAGGCUUACCACAUGAGUGCAUGGUCUUCAUCCUCUAACGGCCCAUGCUUGGCACCAACCAGCCAGUUCCUCAUUUACCCCAGGGGAUCAGGCUCACUUCUGUAUUUUGACACUUGCCAGUCAUGCUGUCUUUACCAACGCCAGCAAGUGGGAGAUGGCAUGGUUCUUGCCGAAACUUUGGGGGCCUCCCACGGAUGCGGCACCUACCACUAGUACAUGUUACUCCUUAGAGAGGGCCUUAGGAUACUCAGAAGAUCAGCUGAUCAGGGAUUGAUAGAAAGCCCAAAGAUGCUUCCUCCCAGAGUAGCCCAAAUGUCAUCUAAUAUGCUUGAAUUCUCACUCUGAGUAUCGCAGGUUUACCCAAAUAAAUAUUUUCAUUCUC
rnacentral:lncRNA from 1 species